rnacentral:rRNA from 1 species
AAUCUUGCGCAAUGGGCGAAAGCCUGACGCAGCAACGCCGCGUGCGGGAUGAAGGNCUNNGGGUUNUNAAGCACUUUUGGCAGNNNNNAAACGGCACCGGCUAAUACCGGGUGUCACGGACGGUACCUGCAGAAUAAGCACCGGCUACCUACGUGCCAGCAGCCGCGGUAAUACGUAGGGUGCAAGCGUUAAUCGGAAUUACUGGGCGUAAAGCGUGCGCAGGCGGUUUGGAAAGAAAGAUGUGAAAUCCCAGAGCUUAACUUUGGAACUGCAUUUUUAACUGCCAAGCUAGAGUAUGUCAGAGGGGGGUAGAAUUCCACGUGUAGCAGUGAAAUGCGUAGAGAUGUGGAGGAAUACCGAUGGCGAAGGCAGCCCCCUGGGAUAAUACUGACGCUCAUGCACGAAAGCGUGGGGAGCAAACAGG